rnacentral:rRNA from 1 species
AUGGCAGUCUACGUGUCCCCGGCGAACAGGUCACGAUACAUAGGUCAGAACGAACAGGUCACCGGUGCACAGGUCCAGGGCAUUCCGAUCGCGGUGCACGGGUUUGGUGUCUUGCUUCCUGGACGAGACGGCGGGGCGGAGUCGAAACUCGCCAACGACGCAGCCCGAGACCCGUCUUUCCCUUCGUGGCAUACUCAAGAUUACGGGUGUACAGAUUUAGCACCACGUUUCUUAGAGGAGACGGUGUGGCAGAACCGGACCUCGUUGACGACGCAACCCGGGACUCGCUCCCCCCUUCAUGGCGUACAUAUCUUUGUUCGAUAA